rnacentral:ncRNA from 1 species
CCGAGUCCCGACGCACCUCCCCCCGGUGCCGGGGCUCUCCCGAGCCGGGCUUCGGCGCCACUCCCCCCUGGCGCCGGGGCCCGGCUCCUUU